rnacentral:rRNA from 1 species
UACGUAGGGUGCAAGCGUUAAUCGGAAUUACUGGGCGUAAAGCGGGCGCAGGCGGUUGUGGAAGACAGAUGUGAAAUCCCCGGGCUCAACCUGGGAACUGCAUUUGUGACUGCACGGCUCGAGUGCGGCAGAGGGGGAUGGAAUUCCGCGUGUAGCAGUGAAAUGCGUAGAUAUGCGGAGGAACACCGAUGGCGAAGGCAAUCCCCUGGGCCUGCACUGACGCUCAUGCACGAAAGCGUGGGGAGCAAACAGG